rnacentral:rRNA from 1 species
CCACCAAGGCGACGAUCAGUAGGGGUUCUGAGAGGAAGGUCCCCCACAUUGGAACUGAGACACGGUCCAAACUCCUACGGGAGGCAGCAGUGAGGAAUAUUGGUCAAUGGACGGGAGUCUGAACCAGCCAAGUAGCGUGCAGGACGACGGCCCUAUGGGUUGUAAACUGCUUUUAUAGGGGGAUAAAGUGUGCCACGUGUGGCAUAUUGCAGGUACCCUAUGAAUAAGGACCGGCUAAUUCCGUGCCAGCAGCCGCGGUAAUACGGAAGGUCCGGGCGUUAUCCGGAUUUAUUGGGUUUAAAGGGAGCGUAGGCCGUCUUACAAGCGUGUUGUGAAAUGUCGGGGCUCAACCUGGGCAUUGCAGCGCGAACUGUGAGACUUGAGUGCGCAGGAAGUAGGCGGAAUUCGUCGUGUAGCGGUGAAAUGCUUAGAUAUGACGAAGAACUCCGAUUGCGAAGGCAGCCUGCUGUAGCGCAACUGACGCUGAAGCUCGAAAGCGUGGGUAUCGAACAGGAUUAGAUACCCUGGUAGUCCACGCGGUAAACGAUGGAUGCUCGCUGUUUGCGUCUGACGUAAGCGGCCAAGCGAAAGCGUUAAGCAUCCCACCUGGGGAGUACGCCGGCAACGGUGAGACUCAAAGGAAUUGACGGGGGCCCGCACAAGCGGAGGAACAUGUGGUUUAAUUCGAUGAUACGCGAGGAACCUUACCCGGGCUUGAACUGUAGGCGAACGAUUCAGAGAUGAAGAGGCCCUUCGGGGCGCCUAUGGAGGUGCUGCAUGGUUGUCGUCAGCUCGUGCCGUGAGGUGUCGGCUUAAGUGCCAUAACGAGCGCAACCCUUGUUCGUAGUUGCCAUCGGUUAAAGCCGGGCACUCUGCGAAGACUGCCUCCGUAAGGAGUGAGGAAGGUGGGGAUGACGUCAAAUCAGCACGGCCCUUACGUCCGGGGCUACACACGUGUUACAAUGGCAUGUACAGAAAGCUGGGUGUAUGCAAAUACGCUCGAAUCCCUAAAACAUGUCUCAGUUCGGACUGGGGUCUGCAACCCGACCCCACGAAGCUGGAUUCGCUAGUAAUCGCGCAUCAGCCAUGGCGCGGUGAAUACGUUCCCGGGCCUUGUACACACCGCCCGUCAAGCCAUGAAAGCCGGGGGCGCCUAAAGUCCGUGACCGCGAGGGUCGGCCUAGGGUGAAACCGGUGAUUGGGGCUAAGUCGUAACAAGGUA